GGUCGUAUCACGUUGAAACACCGGUUCACGUACGAUCACCGAAGUUAAGCAACAUCGAGCCGAGACAGUACCUAGAUAGGUGCCCGCUUGAGAAUUACAGGUGCUGGA